GUUAUAAUUCUCGGUGACAGCGGGUACUCUUAUCGGUUCUCCCUCUCUCUCAAUUUUGAUUGCCAUUGUUCUGUAUCGAUUUCGAUAUUGUUGAGAACGGAGACCGCUGCAAUUUAACUCUAUACUUGUGUUUGUUUAUCUUUUUAAUUUUUGAAUUUUGUUAUUUAUUUAUUUUUAAUUUUCAAUGGUAAUAUGGCAGGGUUGGGAAGAC
rnacentral:misc_RNA from 1 species